CCAGGAGGCCGGGUGGUCGCCCCGACCGCUGGUCGGGGAGGAACGUCCGAGCUCCACCGGGCAAGGGUGCCGGGUAACACCCGGGCGGGGCGACCCGACGGAAAGUGCCACAGAAACAUACCGCCUCGGGCCGAGCGGGGUCGCAAGACCCCCAGAAACUCCCCGAAACGCCUGCCGCCGGCAGGCAGGUCGGGGCGGCCCGGGGUAAGGGUGAAAUGGUGCGGUAAGAGCGCACCGGUCCUUCCGGUAACGGAAGGAGCCGGGCAAACCCCACCCGGAGCAAGGCCAAAUAGGAGGACGACCCCGACUCGUCGGGGAGGGGCGCCCGGCCCCGUCCUCGGGUAGGCCGCUCGAGCCCGCUGGUAACAGCGGGCCCAGAUAGAUGGCCACCGCCCCGACGUGUCGGGGUACAGAACUCGGCGUACAGGCCGCCUGGCUCC
rnacentral:RNase_P_RNA from 2 species